CUCCGUUACACUUUCCAGGCAUUGGAUACAAGAAAAUGAAGCUUCUUCACAGUAAAGAAGAAGCUGGUGGGAUAACGUGGCUGAAAGUAAAUUGCCUUUUGUCGUU
rnacentral:lncRNA from 1 species